AGGGUUUGAUCAUGGCUCAGGACGUACGCUGGCGGCACGCCUAACACAUGCAAGUCGAACGAAGUAGCAAUACUUAGUGGCAGACGGGUGAGUAACAUGUAGGUAUCUUCCCUUUGGCCUGGAAUAACACGAGGAAACUUGUGCUAAUACCGGAUAAGUCUUCACAGAGAAAGCUUUAUGCACCAUUGGAUGAGCCUGCACUUGAUUAGUUUGUUGGUAGGGUAAUGGCCUACCAAGACUGUGAUCAAUAGCUGAUUUGAGAGGAUGAUCAGCCACAUUGGGACUGAGACACGGCCCAAACUCCUACGGGAGGCAGCAGUGGGGAAUCUUGCACAAUGGAGGAAACUCUGAUGCAGCGAUGCCGCGUGAGUGAAGAAGGCCUUUGGGUUGUAAAGCUCUUUCGUCGGGGAAGAAAAUGACUGUACCCGAAUAAGAAGGUCCGGCUAACUUCGUGCCAGCAGCCGCGGUAAUACGAAGGGACCUAGCGUAGUUCGGAAUUACUGGGCUUAAAGAGUUCGUAGGUGGUUGAAAAAGUUGGUGGUGAAAUCCCAGAGCUUAACUCUGGAACUGCCAUCAAAACUUUUCAGCUAGAGUUGAUAGAGGAAAGCAGAAUUUCUAGUGUAGAGGUGAAAUUCGUAGAUAUUAGAAAGAAUACCAAUUGCGAAGGCAGCUUUCUGGAUCAUUACUGACACUGAGGAACGAAAGCAUGGGUAGCGAAGAGGAUUAGAUACCCUCGUAGUCCAUGCCGUAAACGAUGUGUGUUAGACGUUGGAAAUUUAUUUUCAGUGUCGCAGCGAAAGCGAUAAACACACCGCCUGGGGAGUACGACCGCAAGGUUAAAACUCAAAUGAAUUGACGGGGACCCGCACAAGUAGUGGAGCAUGUGGUUUAAUUCGAAGAUACGCGCAGAACCUUACCAACACUUGACAUGUUCGUCGCGACUUUAAGAGAUUAAAGUUUUCGGUUCGGCCGGACGAAACACAGGUGCUGCAUGGCUGUCGUCAGCUCGUGUCGUGAGAUGUUGGGUUAAGUCCCGCAACGAGCGCAACCCUCACUUUUAGUUGCCAUCAUUAAGUUGGGCACUCUGAAAGAACUGCCAGUGAUAAGCUGGAGGAAGGUGGGGAUGACGUCAAGUCCUCAUGGCCCUUACGUGUUGGGCUACACACGUGCUACAAUGGUAUUUACAACAGGAAGCAAGACGGCGACGUCAAGCAAAUCCUUAAAAAAUACCUCAGUUCGGAUUGCACUCUGCAACUCGAGUGCAUGAAGCUGGAAUUACUAGUAAUCGUGGAUCAGCGUGCCACGGUGAAUGCGUUCCCGGGUCUUGUACACACCGCCCGUCACACCAUGGGAGUUGGUUCUACCUUAAGGCAAGGUUUUAAACCCUUGACCACGGUAUAGUCAGCGACUGGGGUGAAGUCGUAACAAGGUAGCCGUA
rnacentral:rRNA from 1 species